CAGAGACCUCAAGCGUUAUCCGGAAUCAUUGGGCGUAAAGCGUACCGAUAGGUGGUUUUACAAGUCAGAAGUGAAAUCUCCGAGCUCAACUCGGAAUCUGUCUUUUGAAACUGUAAAACUAGAGGGGCAAAGAGGAAGCUGGAACGAACGGUGUAGUAGUAAAAUGCGUUGAUAUCGUUCGGAACACCAAUAGCGAAGGCAGGCUUCUGGGUGCCACCUGACACUGCUAGGACGAAAGCGUGGGUAGCGAAUGGGAUUAGAUACCCCAGUAGUCCACGCUGUAAACGAUGCACAUUAGGUGCUAGAGAGUAUCGACCCUCUUUAGUGCCAAAGCUAACGCGUUAAAUGUGCCGCCUGGGGAGUACGGCCGCAAGGCUA
rnacentral:rRNA from 1 species